rnacentral:misc_RNA from 1 species
UACGAAGGAUCCAAGCGUUGUCCGGAUUUACUGGGUUUAAAGGGUGCGUAGGCGGGAAAUUAAGUCAGUGGUGAAAGCUGGUAGCUCAACUAUCAAAUUGCCAUUGAAACUGAUUUUCUCGAGUACGGUUGAGGUAGCUGGAAUGUAACAUGUAGCGGUGAAAUGCUUAGAUAUGUUAUAGAACACCGAUUGCGAAGGCAGUCUGCUAAACUAUUAUUGACGCUGAGGCACGAAAGCGUGGGGAGCGAACAGG